UAUUUUUACUAUUGUUUAUUAUCAUUUUUAUUUUUAUUAGUGCUGUCAUAUUGAUUAAUCACAUCUAACAUAAAAGUUUGUUUGAAUGGUCUCUUGUCAGGUGUUCUCCAAACUCAUCAGGCAUUAUAGAGGAAGACUCAGAGCUGUUAUCUUGGCAAAAGAAGGGUUAAUUGGAAAAAGUAUUUAAUAAAAGGGUGCCAACGUG